AUAAUAAUUGAAAUAUCGUUUCUUCAAAACUUCAUUUGACGACCAAAACAUUUUGAGGAUAAUAAAAAAAAAUGUGUAUAAUCUUUUUAAUAAUAUCAUUGAUUUAAUCGAUCGAUAAGAAUUUGCUUGCAUUUAUAUAUGUGUAUAAAAAAUAUAUAUAUAUAUAUAUAUAUAUAUAUAUAUAUAUAUAUAUAUGUAUAAUAAAUAAUAGAAAUAAUAAUAAAAAAAGAACAUUAGAAUUGGCCCGUUUCCUGGGUGACCACGCGAGAUUAUCGAUCGCGGAUCCUUGAACGGUCAUGAAAGGAGGAAGGUCGAUUUUUCAUUGGACUAGCGUGUCCAUUGGUGUUGUUGGAUCAAAGUGGUCGAAGUCUAGGAUCAUUUUUGGUGUUAGUAUCGUUUGACCGAUUGUACAAGAAGAGAAAGAAAACCUAAACUACAAUUAUCAUGCAUCUACAUUUUGAGAAGAACAAUAACGCCAAGUGCGAUUGUAAUAUCUUAUCCCUCAGUUGGAUGGGCAAAGUACCGGACGAGUCACCUGAGGACGAAGGAUGGAAGCUUGACCGUACAAAUUACUAUCAGGAAGGUUGGUUAGCUACCGGGAAUGCUCGUGGUCUUGUCGGUGUGACAUUUACUACUUCGCAUUGUCGUACCAGAGCUGCUGAACUUCCCUUACGAGCAAACUACAACCUUCGUGGUCAUCGUAGCGAAGUAAUAUUCGUGAAAUGGAACGAACCCUAUCAGAAGUUAGCAUCGUGUGAUAGUUCAGGCGUAAUCUUCGUUUGGAUAAAAUAUGAAGGAAGAUGGAGUAUAGAAUUAAUAAACGAUAGGAACACCCCAGUAACACAUUUCUCUUGGUCCCACGACGGUCGUAUGGCUCUUAUAUGUUACCGGGAUGGUUUCGUACUAGUUGGCAGUGUUGGUGGACAAAGAUAUUGGUCGUCAAUGCUGAACGGUAAAGCAACGAUAACUUGCGGAAUUUGGACACCGGAUGACCAACAGGUUUAUUUUGGAACAACGGCCGGACAAUUGAUUGUGAUGGAUGUUCAUGGUGCAAUGGUAUCGGAGGUACAAUUAGGAGCAGGUGUAACAUCAAUGGCAUGGAGUGCUGAAAAAUUUACAAUGGAAGAAGGUGACGAAGAUUUUACUAGCGAUAGAUCAAGAAGAGACGAACGUAAUUACGUGUUAGCUGUUUGCCUCGCCGACGGUAACAUAGUCAUGUUACGUUCAUUCGACGACGUAUCACCGAUCACUAUAUUUACGAAUCUAAAAACACCAUUACACGCAGAAUGGAGUAAUUCGAGAAAGCUCUUAGCAAUAGCAGGAACUAAAGAAUCGGAUUCUCUAGUUCAAAACAAUUUCCAAGAAUAUACGAAUCUAUUAAAAUUUUAUUCGGUGAACGGUACUCUAGUUUACACAACGGCGAUUCCAUACACGCAGUGCCCUGUAUCGGCGUUAACCUGGGGUCAUAACGACAGAAGACUAUUCGUAGCAACUGGUGCAAGAGUACAUGCGGCAUGGGUGUCCAGGAGGGUCGGUUCGUUGCAGUUGCUAUCUAGAUUAGCAGUGAGGGCUGCCCUCACGAGAGAGUCCAGUGUCCAACAACUUCCUUUGCCACCGAGAUUAAGAGCAUCGGUAGCUGCAUUGUUCGCCAGUACAAUACGAUGUCCAGUACCAGAACCAAGAGAAUUAAGACGUUUUGUAUCAAGGCCACCACCUGGAAGUGGAAGAUUACAUUGUACAAUGCUUAGACAUGCUAUAGAACCUAUACCUUGUUAUACAUUAUAUUUAGAAUAUCUAGGUGGACUUGUGCCAUUAUUGAAAGGACGAAGAACUAGUAAAAUUAGACCAGAAUUUGUAAUAUUCGAUCCUCAGAAUCAAGAUACUUUGCAAUUAUUCGAAGAUGUUUCACAAUGUCCUUCGUUCAGUGAUGGCUCUGAUACGGAAAGGGAUACUGCUGAUUUGUGUAGUUCACCGAGAAAUCGUCGAAAAAAUAGAAGAAAAAGGGAAGAAAAAAGUAUAGAAGAAAGUGACGAUUUAACAUACGUCGACACUUUACCUGAGCACGCAAGACUGGUCGAAGUUACUUCGAAUAUCUGGGGCACGAAAUUUAAAUUCCAUGGAUUGGCUGAUUCUGUACCAGCUAACUUAGGUCAAGUUACUUAUCGAACAUCAUUGUUACAUUUACAACCAAGACAAAUGACAUUGGUGAUUACGGAAUUGAGAGAUGAUUUACCUGCAGGUCCAGAUCCAAGUUUCAACCCAAAUCUUUUUUCCGAGGAUGAGGAAGAAACAUUUCAGGAUCUUCAAGGAACUUCUAGAACGACAUCGGAAACCCAGCCACCACCAAUAGCUCCGAUGACACCGCGUAACGCACGACUGAAUUCAAAUCGUCCAAAAUCUCAGAUCUCAAAUCAAUUUUUAACCACAGAAGCCUUACCUGCCUCAUUGGCACGCGUUGAAAGUUAUGAAAACGAAUUUCCUUAUGUAGAUCUACAAGAGAUGACGAAUUUGUACGAGAAUAUACGAAGUGCACCUACAAAUACCUAUCGCACACCACCGAGACAUAAUCCACCAAGAUGUUGCGACGUUCCGGCUUUACAAUCGCCUAAAAAUGCAGUUGCACCGACACAAACAUUGAUAGCUACGUCGAACAAUGGUACAGAUUACUCUAGUAAUAUUCAAAGAGUUAAAACAGCGUUGGCUGAUCAACAAAAUAACGGAAUGGUUACGAAAAAGGAACUUGAGAAUAAUAAAUUUAAUCAAAUAUCUCAGGAAGAUAAAACGAGCCUAAAUUCUGGUUCGUCGAACAUCAUUCCCACGUCCAUGCACAAUGGCCAAGUACCCUCAGGUGAAGCAUCCAGUUCACAAAAUUCCAUGUUAAAUAAUUUAGAGUCCGGUAAUAAUUGUUCACAAUCACAAAUGAUUUACAUGAAUGGAUUGAACAUUAUAACGUCAUGUUCGAGUAACGUCCUAAAUUCCAAUCACUCGAACAACGUGCAACAAAGCUGCCACGGUUUCUUACAAGCUAGAAAUAAUCAGAACAACGGGACGAAUUUGAAUCUAAGUCCUACGCAAAGUAAUUUAAAUCCGUUUCCAAAAAAUAAUAAUGAUUCGAACGGUUCGUCCAGUUUAUUACUUCCGUCUACGUGUUCCUAUCAGUUGUCCGAUCAUUCUGAUCACGAACAAUCAAGUUCAUAUUCGUCGUGUACGUUGGAACAACAGAAGGAAAACAAAUCUCAGGGUACUUUUGGAAAAAUCAAUAUUUCUAAUAAUCAAUCGAGUGGAAAAACGACAGAGGAACUUUGUUUUAUUGACGAGGAGAAUAGAGCUGAGGCUGAAAUUGAACAAUUUCGUGGAGUACAUAGGACAUCAACGGUAGUUAGUAUCGGACCACUUUGUUCUAACGAUUCUAUAGUAAGAAGUUGUAGCGUUGGAUAUUUGGAUUUAGUCGAUGCACAGUUGGUACCUUGCGACGUUGCCUUGAAUAUGUUGAGAAAGGAAGCACCUAACAAGAGACUAGUAUUGGUUUCAAGAAAAACGAAAAGAAGGAAAAAAAAUCGGACGCAGCAUGACAUUGGACAGCAGAGUACUAAACCACCUAGACUUCGUAAUUGUGGUAAAUCGAAGAGUUUGGACUCUAGUGAUAUAUUUCCUAGUAACGAAUUGAUAUCAACUCCUCCUAAAUUACCUGAACACCUUGAGGAAGCAACGAACGUUGUUAAUUGUUCGGAGAUAGUUACUGAGGAAAAGUGCAGUGAUUCUAAUGUUGUAGCUUUAGGUGAGAUUACCAACGAUACUGUGACUGAAUGUCAAAAGAAGAUACUACAUGGUGACGAUGAAACUUUUGUUAAGAAACCGAGUCGAUUAGAAACUUGCGCGUCUCCUGUUAGAGGUUCUAGUCCGAGUGGUUCAUUGGCAUCAUCAUUGGAUGGUCUCGCAGCAAGACUUAGAGAUUUCGAUGAGAGUCAUUCAUUACCACCACCUUCUCCUCGUCCAUCUCCAAGACUGCCAAGAAGUUCACCGAGCAGUCCAGCACCUUCGAAAAAAGGAAAGAGACCAGCUUCAGCUUCGCCAAUCAGAAGAAGACUUCUCUCGAGUCCUUUAUUAAGUAGGCGAAUACGAAAAAGUCGUGGUGAAAGUUCUGACGAGGAAGGACUUAUACAGGACGACUCGUCCUCGAGUUAUCGAGACUUGGAAACGUUUCAGAAAGCACAACUUCGUCAAAAAUUAAAACAGAAGAGUGGAGGUCAUAAUGGCCAUAAACAAGAAGCAACCAGACGAGAACUUGUGAUGCACAAUAAAGCACCGAUGUGGAACGAAGCUAGUCAGGUGUAUCAGCUUGAUUUUGGUGGUAGAGUUACCCAAGAGAGUGCGAAAAAUUUUCAAAUUGAAUUCCGUGGCAAACAGGUAAUGCAGUUCGGUCGAAUAGAUGGAAAUGCCUACACGUUGGAUUUUCAAUACCCGUUCAGUGCAUUGCAAGCGUUUGCUGUUGCCUUGGCAAAUGUUACACAGCGGCUCAAGUAACCGUCACUCCCCAGUACCUCGUUUGAUAUAUGUACGAAAUUAGAUACAAUUAGUCGCACGUUGCAACCAAAUCUCUACGAAAUUUGGAGUAUGAAUAUUAACGACACGAGAAGAAAAAAAAGACUUACGUGUAUACAAGACACACACAUACAAACACACCCACCCACGUGUCUUUCGAUUAUAAAAUGAUUUCAAAUAAUAGUCAUGGUCUAGAGAAUGCAGUAUAUAAUUAAUAAAAAAUAAAGAGAGAGACAGAGAGAGACAGAGAAACGUGUCGUCGUCGAG
rnacentral:misc_RNA from 1 species